UACAGACUUUUCUCAUCAACCAAACACUUUUCCUCUCAUCAUUUUUUUUUCAUCCAAAACUACAUUUCAAUUCAUAUUGGUUUAACCCUGACUUAAGGGAGAUCUUUUAAGGCAUGGAUUUUGUAGAUUCAAAGAGGAAGAACAACUUUUCUGUCAGGAUCUUUUUGGCUGCUUUCCUUAUUAGUCUUUCAAUUUUCUGGAUCAAGCAGUCACCAAUUUUUAGUUCUCCCAACUUGUUCUCUAAACCAGAAGCUGGAGUAACACAUGUGCUGGUAACUGGUGGAGCUGGCUAU